UAGUGAAUCAACGAAGACGACGCCCAUGCAAAAUUCAAAUGUCAAAGUGAAAUUAGAAAUUAUUCUCAUCAGAAAUCAACGAACAAGUCAAACUGAAUUAUUUUAUCCAGUGUGAUGAUUAUUGUAGGACAAAUUAAACGGAAUAAAUGCACAAAUUGAUCCAUUCAUUCGUCAUAGUGCGCGACCCCGUCAAACGAGCCAUCUCGAACUACAAUCAGACCGUAUCCAAAAAGCCCAAGAUGAAGACUUCAAGACUUCGAGCAGCUGGUCUUCCUCAAAACCCCAUCAAAGCCCAUCGGCAGCAUUGCGACAUUUUCUGGGAGCCCUCAAGCUAGGAAUGUACUCGGGCUGCCUCACUCAGUAAUCACUGAACGACUCAAAUUGAAUAAUUUUUUCCAAUAUGACGAUUAUUGUUGUUGCUGGUGCUGAUCGAGUCUUUAUUACUAAAAUCUCAUUAAAAUGCCAUGUUCUACUGCGAUUAGAUGAAAAAGCGAGGGCCCGCUUUUCUUAUUGUGUGAUGAUAAGAUUUACCAUCAAAAUAGCUGGCGCUUUUGAAGAGGACCUUUUAAUGAACCAUUUAGAUAACUACAAAUAACAAAACUUAACAAUUGUUGAUGAAUGAAGUAAUGAAAUAUUGUACGAAUUUGGAGAAGUAUUGCACUAUUUUCAAGAAUUGCUCAAAAAGACUGCUCUCAGCAGCUGUACAGUAAGUAAGCCAAUCUUCAAAACUCCUACGCGUGUUGAUCAGCAUUUUAGUUGAAAUCUGAAGACAAUAUUGCUGGAUUGCUUGUUUCAGCGCUUCUCUGUUUGUAUAGCUUGUCUGAAUGCAGAUGGUCGUGAAGAAAUCUCCAAAGAAAAAAUUCUCAGGGGUUUAUAUCCGGCGAUUGCACAGGCCAAUGGGGCGGUGCAAACUUUCCAUUCCAACAUUGCGGAAAAAUACUGGUUCAAAUAAACAACAUUUAUGCGAACUGUAUGGCUGGAGAUUUGGUCCUGGAUGUAAAAGACCUGCUGCAGAUGCCGCACCCUUCGAGUCCCAGGAAGUAUUUGCUGAGCUAGCAUAUUAUCCUACUUCUGAGCAUUCAAUCCGGAUUCGAUGAAAAAAGGUGCAAUGACAUGAUGUCCUAGAAGCCCCAGUCAUACACUGACAAUUGCACGCCAUUGAUAACGAAGGUCAUGGACCACGUGAGGGUUGUGUAAUGCUCAAAUUUGAUCGUUCUGACGAUUAUAACUUCCCUUAAGACCAAAUGAACGUCAGUAAAACAAAUUUUCCUCAAAAACUCUCCAUCAGCCUAGAUUCUCUCAAGCGUUCCUUCGUAAAACUCUAUAUGUGAGAAGUAGUCCCCAGGGUUCAAUUUUUUGUCAUGAUGCUUUUUGAAAUUCUUCUUUCUCAUCUGUUUAAGACCCCUAGAAAACGUCGUGCCCACCUGAUUUUAUGUAAUUUUUAUCACCUUUGAAAAUAAAUGUAACUUUAUUUUGCGAAA